AAUAUCUCCCAACCUGUUCCGUGCCCCCGUCUCUCCCAGCCCAGCCCACCCCGUACCCAACCCCUCUCAAUCUCCGGCGACCGUCCCAACUCCGGCCACCGGAUCCGCUUCCCCGGCCAGUUGCCGGCCCAACAACGACGGAUUCAUGGUCGGACGACCUCGUCUUCACCAGAGAUCCAGCGAGGCAGGUUGGCGGCGACGACGUGGCUUUCCCUGGCCGGCACGAGGCUCCCGUCCUCCUUCGUCCUUGUUGCCCGUCCGCUGGUCUCGCCAUGAGUGGAUCUCGCAGCGCGGCCCCCACGACGCGUCCCUGCGCGCGGUUGCCGCCGGAUCCGACGACUCCAAGCAUGGCCGCCGCCAGAUCCCUUCCACUUUCUCUCUCCCGCGGACUUGGCUGCAUCCCUCUGAUGGCCUCCCCUGCUCCUUGCCGUGGAUUCAGUUUCAGUUCUUGUUAUGUGAAGAUAAUUAGUUAUUGUUUUCUGGAGGUGAAAUGAGAAUUCAAUAGUUAUAUUUGAUGUGAAUUGUGAAACAACUGAAAUACAACUUGUGCACUUUCAGUGCAAUUACAAUAUAUUUCAAUUGUGAAUCAAGUUAAAUUUCUUUC